UCGCAAAGGGAGAUUGGACAAGUCCAAUAGUUUCACACAGAAAUAGAUGUGUAUUUCAUUCAGAUGAGAGCUAAAAUACAAAGUGAAGGAACUAAUGGACCCUGACACCUGGAGAAUGUAGAAAUGAGCUAUCAAUCGUCACGUAUCAGAUUACUAACAUUUCUGGAGGCUCUGUAUGCAGAUUUUUAAAUUAACUUAGGAUCUUACAACUACAAUGCAAGUAGAAAAGAGUCUAUUGCUGGCUGAGGUUCAGCAUCCUGGAAAGCUCCACUCAGUCAGACGACAACAACACAUGAAGACAGAGACGAAUCAUAAGAGACGCCAUGUUGGUUGUACUCACAGGGUGUUUGGCUGAUAUUCUCCCAGUCACAGCACUCGUCUGGUGCCAUGUAGAAGAAAUGUAGUUCUGAUGGAUUCAAAUGGACACAAACAUACACAAAGUUAAGGUGAUACUAAUCAAAUCAAAUAGGAAGACAUCUGAUCCAGAACUGUUCCAUUCAGCUUAUUGCUUUCCAGCUCAGACUGAGAAGAACAGCUGAAGCCACCACCAGUUUGUGGAUUAGUGGGAUUUUGGCCAUCAACCAUGCCCAGUUUGAACAAUUUGGAAAUUGUAGAUCCAGUUACACGAAGAAGCAGAACUUCUAGCAUAAUAAUGAUCAAGUCUGCCGUUAAGCGAUGUAACUUAUACAUUUAACUGCAACAUAAAUUGAAAAACAAAAGGUAAUAUCUGGACAAGAUGUCUUAUCAAAAGACACAUCAGGCUUUAAAAUUUUUUAAAACACACUUAUAUUUUGAGUAGUUUUGUUUGUUUCCACUUUCGUUUCUUUCGUUUCCAGGUUAGGUUUACCACUGCAUAAAGCCACACAUGUAAAGGAAGGGAUUUGUAUGCAUCUCUUAUGUUUUUUUUUCUGUCCGGGAUUGCUGCCUGUUCUGGCUAAAAGACCACCAAAUGAAUCACUUUCACCAUCAGCCAAACAGGCUGCCUUUGCAGGUUCGACAACAGAUUUGACAAACAAAAGCUGUUGCUCCCAUAUGUGAGGUUUGACUGAGGCCCAUGUGACGAGACAGUCAGAUGAAGAACUUUCCUGACAAAUUAAUACAAUACUGGCAGGAAAGGAGUGUGACAGCUUUGGGGAACUAUCUCAGACAUGGUGUUUCAUUGCUUUGCUAUUACAAAUUGUCAGUGACAGAGCUCAUUCCAGUUUAUUUAAGGAGGAGUUUAAAUUGUUUUAUUGUUUUACUGAAAAAACUCAAAGCUUAAUUCGGGAUGCACACCCUUACCCCUACACCCUGUUUACCUUCAGGUUUAUUUCCAAAAUCCCUUUUCUUUCUAAAGUUUGCGUUAAAAUGGCUUUUAUAAAGGUGCAGACGUUUCUUGAGGGGGAAAGUGUUGAUGAAAGGUUUCAGCCUGGCUUCAAAAACUACAGCAGCACUGAAACUGCCAUUUUUUAAAUAAUUGUUUUACAUAAUUUAAUUUAACAGCUCACUCCAUGAAAUCAAUAAUUGUGGUGCUUUUAGACUUGGGUGAUGCUUUUAGGCACCUGAUGGCACAGCUGGAACACUGUGUGGGGAUUAUAGGAACUGUUCUUGUUGAAUUUGUCUAAUUUUAUUCAUAAGAGCUUCGCAGCUCACACAGCCAUGUUUCAGAAGCUGCACCAAUUAUAUUUGGAGUACCUCACAACAAGACCCUGUUUGUUUUAAAUCAUAUAUGUUUCAUUUGGGAUAUUUUUCAGAAUAUAUUCCUUCCCUUUGUUUGCCAACAAUACCCAAAGAUACCAAAAAUAAUUUUUGGUAAAUUUAGGAAGGCAGGGGGUUUCAACAGUGAUCAUUCUCAUUUUUAUUAAUAUUAAAAAGUUGACAAAUUUAAAGUUUAUCGAAGUAGAAGUCAUUGUAUUUGAGGCAACAAACCACUAACAUAUCAUUCUUCAGCCAAAACAUAAACAUGUUAAGACAUAAAAAUUUCUCUUUAAGUUCACUAAAAACAACUUAAGUUUUCAAGGGUAGCUUUUUUUUUACAUUUUACCUUCACGCUGGGGGAAGCAUGAAGGUAAAAUGUAUGUUUUUAUAUUCAUACAUUUAGAUGAUUGCAACCCUGGUAUGUGCUGCUGCAGCACUGCUUACAGGAACAUAAGCAUAUAUAUUAUUGAGUUGGCCUCCCUCCACUUCAUGUUUGCCACAUGUUUAUAGGACUUUAUGGCUGAUUUUUAAGGUUCUUCCAAACAGCAUCCUAUUUCAGGGAUCAUGUUACAUUAACUUAAACAUGGAGGUGAAAUAAAUUGCAUUUAGAAGUCUCUAGGUCCAAACAGAAAAGCAGAGGUAGCUGCUCCUUCUCGGUUUGCUGCUUCUAAAUUAUGCAGGAAUUCCAUAAAAAACUGGCCCUUAGCUUUGGACUCCAACAAAGCAUUAUAUCCUAAUUUUAUCACUAUUUUAUUACAUUCGACAGAAAUAAUCUACCACUGCGCUAUGUUAGUUUUAUUGUAUUUGUAUUACCUUCACUGUUUUAUUUUUUUUUUGUCCUUAUGAGCUUAUUUUUACUGCUAUUGGUUUUGAUUGCAUCUUAAAAUGAAGGUUGUGUCUGGUAAGAAGAAAUCUCCAUGGAGAAAUGCACAAACAGUUAGAUCUGCAAGACAACUCUGCCGUAGGGCAGAACGAAAAUGGCGUAAAACUCAACUU